GGUCAGCAUUUAAAAAACCAACUUUGCAGCAUGAUUGCUUUAAAGCCUGCAUUUCACAUGUUACAAUUAUUGGUUAUUCCAAAGCUCCAAACUGCUAUUGUGCAGAAAUGGACAUUUCAAAAGGCUAAGUAGGUAUUGGCUACAAAAGGACCAUAAGCUUAGUAUGAAAAACAUUUUAAUCUGUUUACAGUCUAGAAAUGUUAUUUUGAUUUUUGAUCUCCAAAAUACUUCAACACAAAGGAAAUGCAAGUUAACAGUGGGAAUUGUAGCUCCCUUCUUAAAAUGCAUAUUGUGUCACUGCUGUUGCACACCUUUGAUCCGUUGCUGGUUUGUUGUCAUCUGAAGUCUUUCAUUGUUGAAAAAGUAUCUUACCAAUUAGUAUUUUCAGUAGUGUUCUGCCAUGGUUGACCUGGUGGUCUGAGACCAGAUCACAUACUAAAAAGCUUACUCUGUCCUUUUUUUCUGGAUAAUUGCCUUGGAGAGACACUGUACUUAUAACCAUGUUGAGUUAUUUUGUUAUGCUAAAAUGUCAAAAAAAUUGUGAAAUUAAGGCUGGCAAGAACCUAAAAACUAACUGCAACAGGGUUAAUCCCCCAGACACAUACUCCCUGCAAAUUUUAAUUAUCAGAUAAUAAAUUUCUGCUUUAAAUGUGGGACUUUAGAUCUUUUCUUGGUGAAUGCUUAAUAUUCACUAUAUGCUGUCUCAGUAGCAGCCUUCCAGAGUUACUGGCAAAAUGAAAUUGCUUUUGUUGGCAAAAGAAUUCCAGCCUAUGUGAAGAAAUGAAUCGUAGGACACUCACUAAAAUUUAUUUUGUCUUGCUAAAGAAAAUGUUUUGAAGCAUGAAGAUAUGUUUUCGAGAAAAGUGCCAAAUCUAAGUUUCAGUUACUUACGUAAAAGUAUCUGAAAGGAUAGAAACAGUGUGAAAAAGCUAAAAGAGCUUUGAAGAAAAAUAACACACACCUACAAAGGAGUAUUUUAUCAGUGGGGAAGCACUGCGUCUGCUUAGUUCAGCUCUUCUUUACCCAGUGAUGGGUCAUAUCUUAUCAUAUCAUAUACAUCACAUGAGACACAGAUGCCAGAAUAGAAUGGUGAGCGCUGGCAGGGGCUCUGCCUGUAUCCCUCUACUUCCCUGCAUGUGAGCACCCCAAGGACGCUUUAAGGUGCAAUUUAAUUCUCCAGCUUGAUUUGGAAGGAUAACCUUCCCCCUCCUCCCCCGCUGAGGCUGAUGUCUGCUCCCUGUGCUGUCCCAUUCCAUACAGCCAAGUCCUGCCGUUCAGCAGCCCCCAUCCCAGUGUGCUCACACCCAGCUGCAUCUGCUCCUGCUGCUGCCCUCGUGUCCACCGGGAGGGGUCCUGCCUUCUGCCCUUGACAAAUCCUCUUCUUGUCCUGCCCAUGAAGUGAUGUGAAAGCAAUUAAUUUCCAUGAAGUUACUCUAAAAUUAGGACCUGAAGUUCUAUGACCUGAACAGACAGUGGAUAAGACUCCUUUAGCAAUGAAAUGGAGCAAAAAUGAAGAUUACUCUGAAGAUGCUUCUGUUACUGGGAUCUUUGGAUAUUCUUCAGCCAUUGGAGUCCACCCGGCAACUUUUUUUCCCUACAGUACCAGCUACCCAAGUUGAUUCCUGGUUCUGGUGACAGAAGUACAGUGAACUCUUCUCCACCUGAGAGUUUGUGCAAAGGCUCCUAUGAAAAAAAAUUGACUGAUUUUUAAUCCAUAUAGUACAAAAUUUAUCAUUAUUGUAUAGAGUACAUCACAAGUUUUAUCCAGCUUCAGAAUUUUUCUGUCUUUUAAAGCUGCAGAAUCACUAAACAUCCUCACUUAAGAGGUUUUCCACAUGACUGUACACCUUAGAACCAUUUCACUUUAUCUGAGCUAACAUACACAUUCUCUGUAAGACAGUAUUGGCAUUUUUCAGGUUUAGUUUCAAAUAAGCCCAAUGCAAAGAUAACUAUAGCUCUCCACAGAAGAAGUUGUCUUAGUCUUCAUAUCAAAGCAAUACAUGAGAACUGUACAAGAACCAUUUUUAUUGUCUGCUCUUGCAGAAACCACCAAAAAGCAUGGGUUAUUCUGAUCCUUUUCUAACUCUACAGAAAUAAUCAGAAGAAGGUCUUCACCAUCCAUCUCAGUGCUGUAGGAUUUUUGAUCCCCAUUUGUCUCAUUCACCUGCCAAAAACUUAUGAAUGUAUAAGAUUUUUUUUCCUGGGAUUUGUGUGAUUAAGAUUUUAGCCAGGGGAGGUAUUAAUAAUCCCUGAUAGAGCCACAAUUUACUCAUUUCUCAGUGCAUGAUCUUUAGACUUGACAUUAUUCCUCAAUUUAGACUAUUCCAGCUUACUUCCCAUGCACAGGCUUAAAUAUAUCCACUGUGAUGUAUGUUUUCAGUGUCCCAAAGGGAUAUUACUCUAUCUUACCAAUACAAGUAUCACACUAAGCAUAAUUUUUUUGAAUCCAAUCUCUGUUUAAUGCAAAAUAAAUUUUAUUGAAGCUUAGUUCAGAUGAUAAUAACUCCAAAAACAUCCAGUGAAUUUAAAAUAACGAUUUCAUCAGAACCUUUAAUAUUUCUAAUGCAUAAGCUGAUAUCAGCUUCAUCUCUACCAUAGUGAGGCAUUUUAUAUUUACUCUCUGAGAUUUUCUACAGGUAGUGGGGAAGAUGUUUGCUAUGGUAUUUGUACUCAUGUAUUUUCCAGUUAAUUUUUUCAGUACCUCUAUUUUGAUAUCAGAUUGUCCUCUUCAGCAUGCUACCAAGGCUUGUUUAGAUUGUCAUAAUGAGGAUGGAGCAGAAUAUUCUGGUAUCAUUUGACAAGAGAUAUGCUGUAGACCUCUGCUCUGAACUACCAGACUAAAAAGUUGAUAAUCAAGUUACAAUUUUGCAGACAGAGAGAUUUUUAUAGAUUUUACUCUGCUACAUGUUAUGUUGCAAUAAUAUUCCUCAAUUUCUCCAUUACGGGCUAGGGUUUUUAGUUGCUAAGGCCACUGAAGCUCAAUAUAAAAAAAAAUAAAGGAAUUCAAGCUGAUUCAAGACAGAUCAAUAAGGUUUAAAUCCCAUGUUCAGAGGUUUAACAGGAAUGGUGAACUGAUUUUUUGUGGGGUUUUUUUCCCAUCAAAAUAGUUACUUGAUUAUCCUCAGUAAAUUCUCCUUUUCCGUGCCCAUCUUCUCACAGACAUUUGUUCUUCUUUUGUGGUGUUAAUGAAGGCAGAGCUUUCUGCUUCUCAGAAUAAGAAAACAAAUACUGAAAAUUAUUAUCACAAUCCAGGACUGAAACAAAUUUUUUUUAAAAUACCAUAGCUUUCAGAUUGAAUGCUCUAACUCCGCAAUUCAAGAUGGCUGGUGACAUCUUUCUUAUUUACCUGUGUACAGAUAUACACACCAAAUGAAGUCAAAAUGCAUACUCUUAGCUGUACCCAACAG